AAAAGAAACCAACAGGGAUUGCCCCAGUAACGGCGAGUGAAGCGGCAACAGCUCAAAUUUGAAAUCUGGCUCUCGGGCCCGAGUUGUAAUUUGUAGAGGAUGCUUUUGGGUGAGGUGCCUUCCGAGUUCCCUGGAACGGGACGCCAUAGAGGGUGAGAGCCCCGUCUGUGGUUGGACACCGAUCCUCUGUAAAGCUCCUUCGACGAGUCGAGUAGUUUGGGAAUGCUGCUCUAAAUGGGAGGUAUAUGUCUUCUAAAGCUAAAUACCGGCCAGAGACCGAUAGCGCACAAGUAGAGUGAUCGAAAGAUGAAAAGAACUUUGAAAAGAGAGUUAAACAGUACGUGAAAUUGUUGAAAGGGAAGCGCUUGUGACCAGACUUGGGCUUGGUUGAUCAUCCGGGGUUCUCCCCGGUGCACUCUUCCGGCCCAGGCCAGCAUCAGUUCGCCCUGGGGGACAAAGGCUUCGGGAAUGUGGCUCUCUCCGGGAGUGUUAUAGCCCGUUGCGUAAUACCCUGUGGCGGACUGAGGUUCGCGCAUUC
rnacentral:rRNA from 1 species